GAGGCUAUAGGGAACUUUCGGGAUAGCAUUUGAAAUGUAUAUAAAGAAAAUAUCUAAUAAAAGUAUUAUAAAAUAAAAUAAAAGAGGAGUAGACCAGACUUCAACCUAACACGCACACAAUGAAUUGAGUUAUGGUUUGGCAAAAAAAGGAGAACUAUUAUGGAUUGCCUUAGAAUCAUAAAUACUCAAAUCACCCACCAGCACAAAUCUGGUGUUAGAAGAGUAAGAAAGCACCUGUUAGCUUUCCCUCAGCAGAACGGCCCAUCUCGUUACUGGGCAGUGUCUGGCCUUAUUCCCUGGUCCCUCAAGCUGUGAUAGAUGACAUCAUUUCAAGAUUUCUGGAAACCUACUUUCAACCAUCACAAAUGGCUAGAGAUGUACUUUGAGUGUCUAGUGGUUAUUUCCUGUGAUAAAAUUCUUUUAAAAACAAAAAAAAAUUACAUUCAUAAUUUUUCAAGGUUUUUUUUUUUUUUUCUUUUCUUUUUUUUUUUUUUUAAAUUGGCUUUUCUGAGACAGGGUUUCUCUGUGUAGUACUGGCUGUCCUGGAACUUUUUUGUAGACCAAGUUAGCUUCAAACUCACAGAGAUCUGCCUGCCUCUACUUUCUAAGUGCUGAGAUCAAAGGCAUGUACCACCAACACCUAGCAAGUUCUUAAUUCUAAAGAUACUAUACUUAACUAUACUUGGAAAGUAUCUGUAUCAAUUUAACUAAGACUGAAUUUUUUUUCUAAAAACCAAAAAUAUCAAAACCAAUAGGCAUAAACAUAGGAAAAAUAGUAUAAAAUUAGAAAUAUAAAAAAUACAACAGUAAAACAUAUUUAUAUAUAGAACCUAUAUCUCUUUUUUUUUCCACUUCCAAUUUAAGGCAGUUUAUUGUACAACUAAAGCUAAUUGAAGCUCUAGUUUUGUGACCUGGAACAAAUUGCUUAAUGUCACUGAGUGCCUCCCUGUUGUGUCAUCGUGGGGACUAGAAGAAAACCCUGGUGCAGAUUGUGGAAUCUCCAUACUGCAAACUUCGGUUCCUGUCAUACAUUAUGCAUACAGGUAUUUCCUAUCCACUGAACUCAUCACAGAGCAAAAUUUGUUAGUGGAAAAAAAGUGAUUCUUUAAAACCAUAUUCAGUGCCUCGAAUGUUUUUACUGCCCACAGUGAGCCUAAAAAUGCAAGGCCAUAAUCACAUGCCCAGAUGCACAGACAUUACCACGUUAAGAAGCCAUUGGAUUCUGUAGGUUCUGCCUUCCUACCUUGACAUCCUCAUUAGGAAGCAUCAUUAUACAAAAGGCCAGGUUUUAAAUCCAGAACCUAUGUCUCUUACUUAAAGCGGACAGUGUAUGUCCAUUUCCUCCGGCUGUCUGUGAGAGACACACUGGUGAAAACUGGAAGGGGAGCAGUAGGAGUUGCCCUAAGUUCUUCUCUCAGAUGACAAGGUUUUCAGCCGCCUGCCUUUUGAAAGGGGGAUGAUGUGAUUUCACUAGCUCUGAGAAAAGACCACCGCACGGUCCCUCAGGAAUACAUUAAAACCCACCUGCAGGAUCCACAGCACUGAGUCAUUUCACACCCUGCACCUUACCUUUGCACGGGGAAAUCAAGUCCUCUUUCUUGUCUAGAUGGUCUCUGUGGCACUUAACAUGGCAUCUUCGACACUCUAGGGCAGGUGGUGGCUUAAAGACAUGCCACAAAGGUUUGGCACAGGCCUCACAGUUGGCAGGAAAGUGGUAGAGGGUAGGAAUGAAUUCAUGGCCUUUGUGAUUCUGGAAAUUAGUUUUUUCACCUUGUUGAACCGGUUCCACUUCUAUAUCUUUUCUACAUUCACCUUCAUUUGCAUAUAGUAUCUAAAUUCAGGAGGGGUGAAGAAGAUUGAAAAAAACCUUAAUCUGUAAAUAAAAAUUCUACAUGCAUGAAAACACUGUUACCUAUUUCACAAAAUUGCUUCGGUAAAAGAGCUUUUAGAAUUAUAAAUAUAACAUUUGUACCUGGAAUAUUUUAGGAAUUUCUUCAGUUUCUGCUCUGUACACAUCUCCUUGGGUUACAGGUCGGACAUGAAACAAUUUACUAAGAUAGAAAUAUAUGAUAUAAAUCCAUUAUAAGAAUCUCAUUGGUAACAAAAGGCAUACAUUUCACUAAAGAGAUAUUAAGUGGCAAAGGAACAAAAAAAAAUAUGUCCAGUAUCAAUAAUCAUGUGUGUGUAUAUAAAAGCAUGCCGUGGUAUACCUUUUAGAAUUUUAAGAGAAACAAUAGGGGCUAGAGUGAUGGCUCAGAGGUAUAAAUAUAAGAAUGUAUACUGUUCUUUCAGAGGACCACAGUUUGGCUAUCAGCACUCAAAUCUGGUGGCUCACAGUUGCCAGUAACUCCAACUCAAAAGGCUUAAAAGGUCUCUACACUCAUGUGUACAUACCCUCACAUAUAAUAAAAAUAAGACUCUAAAAGUAAAACAAAUGUUGACAAAAAUGUAUAGAAGCUAGAUUACUCACAUAUUGCUGACAGAAACGCAAAAUUGCAAAUCCACUUGAAAAACAACUUGGCUACUUGUUUUAUAAACUAGACUCACUCUUAUUUUUACUAUUCCAUUCAAGCUUAUCAUUCAUAACUAAUAGUUAAAGCAGUACGAAAUAUUACCCAAGCUUGUUCAAUUUUGUUUAUCUUCUAACAAGUACUAGCUCCAAAAUGUUUUAUUUAACAUGAAAACGUUACAUUUUAUGUAUGGGUGCACAUGCCAUGGUGUAUGUGUGGAAGCUAGAGAACAACGUUCUGAAGUUCAUUCUCUUCCAUUCUGUGGAUUCCAGGGAUCAAACUUACAUUAUCUGGCAUGGCAACAAGCAACAUUACCCACUAAGCCAUCUUGAUGGUCCUUUAUUAAACUUUACAUAACUCUUGAAUAGCAUUUCCCAAACCUCGUAUUGAAUUUAUAUUGUACACUUAAAAAUUUUUAAGUAGUUGUCUCUAAGGUUCUUAAAUAUAGAAGCUAGUUUCAUUACAUAUGUAUUACCUGUAUGAUAAUAUAGACAAAUGGAAUGUGAAUGAACAUGCAUAGAAAAACCCAAUAUUAUUUAAAAAAGGUUAUUUGUUUACAUUAAUUAACAUAAACUACUGAUGGUGUCAGUAUGAUGAUCAAAUAAUGUUACAC
rnacentral:lncRNA from 1 species